UACGGGGGGAGCAAGCGUUGUUCGGAUUUACUGGGCGUAAAGGGCGCGUAGGCGGCCACCGCAAGUCAGUUGUGAAAGCUCUGGGCUUAACCCAGAAAGGUCAGCUGAUACUGCGGGGCUAGAGUGCAGAAGGGGCAACUGGAAUUCUCGGUGUAGCGGUGGAAUGCGCAGAUAUCAGGAGGAACACCUAUAGCGAAGGCAGCUUGCUGGGACGUUACUGACGCUAAGGCGCGAAAGCGUGGGGAGCGAACAGG
rnacentral:rRNA from 1 species